rnacentral:hammerhead_ribozyme from 14 species
GAAAUGUCUAGGCCUGUUUAGGCCUACUGACCAUUUUUUAAAAAAACAUUUU